rnacentral:rRNA from 1 species
GAUAAACGCUGGCGGCGUGCUUUAUGCAUGCAAGUCGAACGGUCUCGAUUUAUCGGGAUAGUGGCGAACGGGUGAGUAACGCGUAAGUAACCUACCCUCAAGUAGAGGAUAACUCUGAGAAAUUGGAGCUAAUACUGUAUGUGGUAAUGGAGGUAAUGCUUCAUUACUAAAGCCUUAGGGCGCUUGGGGAGGGGCUUGCGUUCGAUUAGCUAGUUGGUGGGGUAACGGCUUACCAAGGCGUUGAUCGAUAGCUGGUCUGAGAGGAUGGUCAGCCACACUGGGACUGAGAUACGGCCCAGACUCCUACGGGAGGCAGCAGCAAGGAAUAUUGUGCAAGGGGCGAAAGCCUGACACAGCGACGCCGCGUGGGGGAUGAAGGCUUUCGGGUCGUAAACCCCUUUUCUCAGGGAAGAACAAUGACGGUACCUGAGGAAUAAGUCACGGCUAACUACGUG